UACGAAGGGUGCAAGCGUUGCUCGGAAUCAUUGGGCGUAAAGCGCACGUAGGCGGCUUGAAAAGUCGGAUGUGAAAUCCCGUGGCUCAACCAUGGACGUGCAUUCGAAACUGCGAAGCUUGAGUAUGGAAGAGGGUCGCGGAAUUCCCGGUGUAGAGGUGAAAUUCGUAGAUAUCGGGAGGAACACCAGUGGCGAAGGCGGCGACCUGGGCCAAUACUGACGCUGAGGCACGAAAGCGUGGGGAGCGAACGGG
rnacentral:rRNA from 1 species